UACGUAGGUGGCAAGCGUUGUCCGGAUUUACUGGGCGUAAAGAGCGCGCAGGCGGUCGGAUAAGUCGGAUGUGAAAGCCCCUGGCUCAACCAGGGAGGGUCAUUCGAUACUGUUCGACUCGAAGGCAGGAGAGGGAAGUGGAAUUCCGGGUGUAGUGGUGAAAUGCGUAGAUAUCCGGAGGAACACCAGUGGCGAAGGCGACUUUCUGGCCUGUUCUUGACGCUGAGGCGCGAAAGCUAGGGGAGCAAACGGG
rnacentral:rRNA from 1 species